rnacentral:piRNA from 1 species
GUCCAAGGAUCGCUCAAAAGAUAAAGGGG